rnacentral:lncRNA from 1 species
UUGGGGGAUUUUAACUUCUUUUCCAAGUAACAUCAUCAUCUUCCUAUAUUAGGGUAUGUCCACAUCAGUGCUAACUCAUUUCAGUUCUUGAAUUGUUUUUGACUCUGUUUUAGGGUUUGAUGAAACAACAAACUCGUCGCACAUUUUACAAGGAGUCAAAAUUAUUUCCUACAAUUUUUGGUUUUUGUUUUAUGUUUUUACUUUAAAUUUAUUUAGUUGUUAUUCAUUCCAAAUUUCAUGCUGCUAUAAAAUUUAGUUCACUUUGGC